GAUGAACGCUGGCGGCGUGCCUAAUACAUGCAAGUCGAGCGAACAGAUGAGGAGCUUGCUCCUCUGACGUUAGCGGCGGACGGGUGAGUAACACGUGGAUAACCUACCUAUAAGACUGGGAUAACUUCGGGAAACCGGAGCUAAUACCGGAUAAUAUAUUGAACCGCAUGGUUCAAUAGUGAAAGACGGUUUUGCUGUCACUUAUAGAUGGAUCCGCGCCGCAUUAGCUAGUUGGUAAGGUAACGGCUUACCAAGGCAACGAUGCGUAGCCGACCUGAGAGGGGGAUCGGCAACAGUGGAGCGGAGCCACGGACAAGGCCACGCAGGGAGGGCGAAGGCGGGAACCUUCCGAAAGGGGGGAAACCCGGACGGAGCACCGCGGGGGGAGUAAUAAAGUUCUCGGGAUCGAAAAACUUGUUUAGUGGGGAAAAACAAAUGUGAAAGUAACUAUGCCCGUCUGGACGGGACAUAAUCAAAAAGCCAGGGCUAACUACGUC
rnacentral:rRNA from 1 species